UGGGGAAUCUUGCACAAUGGGGGCAACCCUGAUGCAGCGACGCCGCGUGAGCGAUGAAGCCCUUCGGGGCGUAAAGCUCUUUCGACCGGAACGAUAAUGACGGUACCGGGAGAAGAAGCUGCGGCUAACUACGUGCCAGCAGCCGCGGUAAUACGUAGGCAGCAAGCGUUGUUCGGAGUUACUGGGCGUAAAGAGUGCGUAGGCGGUUUUCUAAGUUCGGUGUGAAAUCUCCCGGCUUAACUGGGAGGGUGCGCCGAAGACUGGGAAGAUGGAGUGUGGGAAAGGCAGGCGGAAUUCCUGGUGUAGCGGUGAAAUGCGUAGAUAUCAGGAGGAACACCGGCGGUGUAGACGGCUUGCUAGACCAUAACUGACGCUGAGGCACGAAAGCGUGGGUAGCAAACA
rnacentral:rRNA from 1 species